GCAGCCCUCCUCCAGAGGAGACCCAGGGCCAGGAAGAACUUCUCUUGCAAUACAUUCACAGCAGCAACUGCAGAAAAGAUGCAUUCUGCAAAAACAGCAAGAGGGCAGGCUAAGUGUCUGCAGAUACAUCUUUAUUUAGCUAGUGGGUGAUGACUUGGAGCAGAACUGAGGAGGAAAAUGUGAGCAGCUUGAUUUCUGAGCCAUCACACUCACCUUAACAAGAAUUAUGGUACUUACUCUAGGCAAUGUUACUAUUAGGAAAUUGCAGUGAUGGAGUUUCCUGUGCGUUUAAGGAAUGGGUCCUGCUCAUUUGGGUGUUCCUUUUGUACUAGGAGAAAAAAGAGUCUGAAUCCGGCAUCAUAUUUCCAUCCUGUGGAAUUCAUGAGGAGAGAUUAAUCACCACGACCAGCUUUUGUGAUUCUUUGUCCACUGUGGAAGAAUCUAUUGUGUCCUAU